rnacentral:lncRNA from 1 species
AGUUCUAUUCAGAUAUUCUAUCUGUUGAUUCAGCUUAUCUUCAAAUAUUCUGUGGACUAAUUUGCUGUCCAUCUUCAGGAUGGCUCCACCAACUCGUCAGACCCCAGCGCGUGAGGAUAUGCCGCCUCCACCUCCUCCUCCGCCACCGCCGCCGCCUCCUCCUGCAGAGGCCUGGCAGGCGAUGAUGGCAGCUACCAAUGCAAAUACUCAGAUGCUGUUGCAGUUGAUCCAGG